rnacentral:rRNA from 1 species
GAUGAACGCUGGCGGCGUGCCUAAUACAUGCAAGUCGAGCGAACAGAUAAGGAGCUUGCUCCCUUGACGUUAGCGGCGGACGGGUGAGUAACACGUGGGUAACCUACCUAUAAGACUGGAAUAACUCCGGAAAACCGGGCUAAUGCCGGAUAACAUUUAGAACCGCAUGGUUCUAAAAGUGAAAGAUGGUUUUGCUAUCACUUAUAGAUGGACCCGCGCCGUAUUAGCUAGUUGGUAAGGUAAUGGCUUACCAAGGCAACGAUACGUAGCCGACCUGAGAGGGUGAUCGGCCACACUGGAACUGAGACACGGUCCAGACUCCUACGGGAGGCAGCAGUAGGGAAUCUUCCGCAAUGGGCGAAAGCCUGACGGAGCAACGCCGCGUGAGUGAUGAAGGGUUUCGGCUCGUAAAACUCUGUUAUUAGGGAAGAACAAACGUGUAAGUAACUGUGCACGUCUUGACGGUACCUAAUCAGAAAGCCACGGCUAACUACGUG